AGAGGGGGGCACUCUGAACAAGCUGGAGGGAGGGAGGAGGGGAGGAUAGCUAGCGAGGGAUGGGGAGAUUGCCGGACCGAAGAGAUAGAAGUGUUACUACAGAGCUGCUGCUGCUGGAGGACGGGCUGGGAGCCGAGGAUAAUUCUCCAUCCCUCAGCGUACAGCAGCACGCCGGACACCUUGUAAUUUCUUGUGGUGGCGGCGGUAGUGGAGGAGGAGGGUCUUCAUUGUUGCAGCAGUGAUUGUCUUUUCUUUUCUUUUUUUUUCUUGCUUUUUUCCUUUUAUUACAUCUUCCUGCUCAACCCUACUGACUCCUUAUUCCUCUGCAACUGCUGGGCUUCCCCUCCUGUCUUUCCUACUUCUGUCUCCUUUUUUUUUUUCCUGAGGAGGGAUUUCUGUAUUUCAUCAGGGAUUGUAAAAGACAUGUCUCUCUGGGAAUGAUGGUGUUGCCACUGGUGCCGCCCUCUCUGUCGCCAUGACGAUGCCGUUUAGCCCCCUGUCCAGCGACGAGGAGCAACAAAGGAUGCUGGGAAACAAUCGACAUCUCUAUCCUGGGGCAGAAGACGAGGAAGAGGAGGAGGAAGAGGAGGAGGAGGAAAUGGAAGAAGAUGAGCGCGAUGACGAUGGGGAAGAGGAGGAGAAUGGCGAGCUAGAGGGGGAAGAGGAAGACGAUGAUGAGGAGAUGGUGGAGGAGGUCCGACGAGGAGGUCUGCAACAAAGGGGUAGGGGUGAGGGACACAGGCAGUCAGCUAAAUUGGCUGGACGACCCACUGGGGACAGACAGAUCCGUCCAGGGAAUCCUGGACACACUGCUAACCCCUAUUCGUCCAACCCUGGACCCACACACCAACAACCAGCCAAUCAGAUACAGCAGCAGCAGCAGAGGAGGCUGAAGGAUCGGAGUGCCAGCUCGGCGCAAUCUGAGGACACCCACAUUGCCAUGAUGGUGUUUCGGAUCGGCAUCCCAGACAUAAAGCAAACGAAAUGUUUGCGGUUUAAUCCAGAUGCCACAGUGUGGAAGGCCAAGCAGCAGGUGCUUUGCUCCCUGACCGAAUCUCUGCGAGAUGUACUCAACUAUGGUCUGUUCCAGCCCGCCACAGAUGGCCAUGAUGCCAAGUUCCUGGAAGAGGAGAGGCUGCUCAGAGAGUACCCACAGUCCUUUGAGAAGGGGGUACCAUAUUUGGAGUUUCGUUAUAAGACCAGAGUGUACAAACAGACUAAUCUGGAUGAGAAGCAACUGGCCAAACUGCACACUAAGGCCAGCUUGAAGAAAUUCAUGGAUUACAUUCAAACCAGCGCUGUGGACAAGAUGGCCAAGUUCUUAGAUAAAGGCCUUGAUCCCAACUACCAGGACACUGACACUGGCGAGACUCCUCUGUCCCUGGCAGUGCAGUGUGAGCCAGGUGGAGGCGAGGCCAUCCGGGUCCUGGUGGAAGGAGGGGCUCAUAUUGACUUCCGUGCCAAAGAUGGACUCACACCGCUACACAAGGCUGUUCGAGGCCACCGUCAUACAGCCCUGCUGGUCCUGCUCUCUCUGGGUGCAUCUCCAGACUAUAAGGACCGACGAGGGCUGACGCCACUUUACCACACUGUGCUGACAGGAGGCGACACCUCCUGUUGCGAAACACUGCUUUACCACCGUGCCAAGCUAGGCAUCAGGGAUGAGAACGGCUGGGAUGAGACACAUCAGGCCUGUCAGAACGGUAACUCGCAGCAUCUGGAGCACCUCCUCUUCUAUGGGGCGGAUUCUUCCUCCCAGAAUGCCUCUGGAAACACUGCCUUGCACAUCUGUGCUUUAUACAACAAGGAAAGCUGUGCACGAAUUCUGCUCUACCGGGGAGCAAAUAAAGACACAAAGAAUAACAGUGGGCAGACCCCCUUUCAGGUGGCUGUUAUGUCUGGCCAUUUUGAGCUGGGUGAAAUUAUUAAAAACCACCGGGAUACAGAUGUGGUUCCCUUUGUAGAGUCUCCAAAGUACGCCCCCCAGAGGCGUGAGAGCUCCAAGACACUGACGAUACCCCACCCUCACCCCUUCCUCCGGGCCAACAGUGACAGCAGCAUGAACCUGCCAGACUGGAUGGCAGUGCCCAACGCCCCGAGCACCAACAUCGUCUCUGUGCAGGGAUACAAGCAUACAGGAACCCUGCGGAGCUCCAGCAGCCCCAGAGGGGCAAGAACACGCUCUCCAUCCCGUGGGAGGAUCGGAGAUAAGGAGGACCGGAGCAGACAGAGUAGGAGACAAGGACCUGCUCUUGCCACCACCACUGUACAGACUGCAGGCCAGCGGAGACGCCUCUACAGCGCCGUCCCAGGACGAGUCUUUGUAGCCACUCGCGCACACUCAGCACAGGGAGAGCGAGAAAUCAGCUUCAGUAAAGGAGACAGAGUCAAAGUGCUGAGCGUUGGCGAAGGCGGGUACUGGGAGGGGACAGUCAGGGGUCGCACAGGUUGGUUCCCCUCUGACUGUGUGGAGGAAGUGAUGCUUCGAAGCCAAGACAACCGAUCAGAGAGCCGUGGAGAACGAGCCAAGCGGCUGUUCCGCCAUUACACUGUGGGAUCCUACGACAGCUUUGACGCUCCCAGUGACUAUAUAAUCAAGGAGAAGACGGUGCUUCUUCAGAAAAAAGACAGCGAGGGUUUCGGCUUUGUGCUAAGAGGGGCCAAAGCUCAGACUCCAAUAGAAGAGUUUACGCCGACCCCGGCCUUCCCUGCCCUGCAGUACCUGGAGUCCGUCGACGAGGGAGGAGUGGCUUGGAGAGCCGGUCUCAGGAUGGGAGAUUUCCUCAUAGAGGUCAACGGUCAGAAUGUGGUGAAGGUUGGCCAUCGGCAGGUCGUCAACAUGAUCCGGCAAGGUGGCAACAGCCUCAUGGUCAAGGUUGUCAUGGUAACCCGUAACCCUGACAUGGAGGAGGGUUCCAGGAAGAAAAUCCCCCAGCAGAGUAAGAGGCUGAGCACUCCGGCCAUCGCCCUGCGAUCCAAGUCCAUGACUUCAGAGCUGGAGGAGAUGGAGGUUCCACACUGUCACUUCCAGCACCCCCACUACAGCUGCUACCCCUUGGAAAAAAAAAUCAGAAUUCGAAUCCUCCCAAGUUACAGAGAAGAAGAGGACAGUCUAUCAGAUGGCUCUCACUGCUCAGCAGACAAUCAGCACCAACGAGGCACCGGCGGCACGGGGACAGGGGCCAAAACGAGACAGGGGAAGAAGUUUCUAUGGCAAUGAGCCAAACUAUGGGGAUCAGUCUGGGAUGGGGAUGAUGUCGUCAGGGCUGGGCCUGGGCUAUGAGCGUGGACAGUACACCUCAGGUCACGCCCCACAGCACGGGGUGCCUGAGGAGGAGAAGCAGUUCCUGCAUCCUCCAGCCAUGAAGUUUGCACGGAGUCUGUCGGUGCCCGGCCCAGACGACAUCCCUCCUCCUCCCACCACAGCUCCACCAGAUCCUCCAU